rnacentral:rRNA from 1 species
UUCUUUAAGAUAAUAAAUUAAAGUAAAACCUGCUCAAUGAAAUUUUAAAUAGCCGCAGCUAACUGUGCUAAGGUAGCAUAAUAAUUAGCUUCGUAAUUAGAAGAUAGAAUGAAAGGUUAAACGAAAACAAACUGUAUCAUUAAUAAAAAUUAACUUUCUACAUUAGUUAUAAAGCUAAUUAAACAAUGACGGACGACAAGACCCUAGCAAACUUACCAUUUAGUUGGGGCGACACUAUAAAAAAAUCCUUAUAUCAAAUUACAAACCCUAUAAUAUAGAUAUUAGAAUAGUUACUGUAGGGAUAACAGCGCUAUCCUUUCCAAGAGCCCACAUCAAAGAAAGAUAUUACGACCUCGAUGUUGAAUUAGUUUACCUUAUAUGCGCAAAAGCAUAAUAAGUUGGGUCUGUUCGACCUAAAUAAAACU